UUAACUUUAAAAAAGUAAGUGAAUAAUUGAAAUUUGUACUUCGGGACAAACUUAAUAUACACUGUUCAGAGUAAAAACAUAAGCCAUAUACUCUCUUGGUUCCAAAAAUUUUAAGAAUAAUAAAAAGCUUCCACUUAAUUUGGUCAAACUCUAUACUUUACUAUAGAUAGAUAGAAAAUAAUUGAGGGUUUGCACUGUGCCCUCUCCCAUGUCACAAAGAUCCAGCAUACUGAACAAUUUCAGUAGCUUGCAGAUCCCUGUCCACGUAGAUGAACGGAUUGUUGACGUAGAUGAAUUCAAAAGCCUUGAGCCUGCUACUACAAAAUGCUGGGUAAUCUAGAAUCAGGUGUUCUGGAGUUUCAGCGCGCAAAACCCGUAGUUUGCACAGUACCUUGUUGAUCAAGUUUUUCUUGAGCGUGCAGUGCCCAGUAUAGAGCGCGGCAAGGAGACGGAAUUAGCUUUGGGGGAGGUUGGUCAUAUCUCCAAACCUCCUUAAACUCUACACUAAUAUUGGCUACACGAAAAAGUAUUUUCGUAUUUUGUCAAUAAAUGUCGUUGCGGUCGUAUAUCUCCAGUGCUACCAAUCACAUUGUGUCAUACCAUAUAGUGUUGGAAAGGUGAAAUUUUAAGCUUUAUUUAACAAAAAAAAAAUUAAAUUCGGAAAAGUUGGAAGAAAGUUACAGCUGUUCAAAAUUGAGUUAAAAUAAUGAAGAUUUUUGUAAUUUUUGUAUAAAAAAGGGAAGAAUGCCACACAAGGCACUAAUGAAAUUGAGACGACGCUGUAUCAGUUCGUGUAGAACAACAGUGGUACGUUCGAUUCCAUUCUGGAAAUUUCGAACUUUCGAUUUACACUGAUGGAAUAAUGUCUCUAGCCGAAAAAUGGCAAAAUGAUAUUUGUUUAUUUAUUUAUUAGUAUAAAUAAAAAAAAAAAGUUGAAGAUUGAUUGUAAAUACGAAAAGACUUUUUCGACUAUCCAAUAUAUUUACAUUUUCUUUCAAUUGCGAGAAAAAAUUGCAAAAAGCUAACUGGCAAUGUGCUUCUGUAUAAUAUUUGUUAAUGAAUGCUAAUGAAGAUAUGCAAAUAUAUUUAUUUAUUAAAUAUAUACAUAUGUAUAAUAUGUAGUGCAUAAAAUAUUACAGCUCAAUUUGCUUAUCUCUGUACCUUAGAAAAGCAAAACGAAAUUUUACAGCGAUCUUGGCACCUACACUAACAAUUAGCCCAUAAAUCAAUAAAGCCAAUGACGCCGAAUAAACUAUCGACGUUAUAUAUGAGUCCAUAUACAUAUGUAUGUAUAAAUUUUAAUUCGUGUAUAUCAACCUAAUGACAAGCGUCAUUAAAUAUAGAAUCUUUUGUGUUUGAAAGCUUUGAAAAUCCGCCUCGGUGCAUGCGAUCAUCAGUGAAUGCAACAGCCAACAAUAGUCAAUAGAGUCAUAGGAAACACCAGGCGCCACCACAAACAAUAACAAAGCAAUUGUAAAUUUGCAAUAAUGGAAAGUCGUAACGGAUUUUAAUUAUUCAUUCAAUUAUGGUUUGAAAGAUCUGCCAGCGGUAGUCAUGAGGUGUACGGCAAUAUGCAAAUAAUUCUAAUUUAUUAUAACGUAACUUAUAUACAUUAUUACAUAUAUUAAGUACAUAUAUUCAAUAAAAAAUGUAUAAAACUGUAGCACAUAGGAACAAGUUUGCUCCUUCAACUUAUUUUUGCCAUAAGCAUUAACUAAUUAAAUCAAUUAGCAAGCGCGCUCAGUACGAGUAUCUUAUAAUAAAAGCAACCAGCGAAGUGUCUGAUUAACGAGCUUGGGCGCAACGCGUCAAACAUCUGUCAGCUGUCAACUGUCGUCUUUGAAAAAGAAAAUUUCUGCAGCUAAUGUUGCAAAAUAUGGAGCCAGUGUGGUUGUUAAUAUUUCUGUUAAAACGGCUUAAGUCAAGUUUGUUUUUGUUUCUUUCUGUUCUCCCCUCACUCACCUCAUCUAACCAAAUAGCAUUAAGGAAGCCUGAAAACGCGGCUAAUGGAGGUGGCAUACUCGUACUUCUUUGAGAAUCCCUCGAUGGCUUUGUUCCUACCAAAAGUAUCUAUCAAAAUAAUUCGAGCGGACUUGGGAGAAAUGUCGAGCUCUCUUGCAAUCUCUCUAACUUUUGUGAUGACAGCGUUUUGCGUGAAAAGGCCUUAUAUUCUUUAAGUCACCAACGAUUCGUCCUUCCAUAGUGACAACAUAGUUGUUAUGCAAUAAACUAAGUAAGAUCUGCGACUUUGGUUUCCUGUACUUAUACAUACUAUAUGUCUCUCCAGUUAAAAAAGGUGACAUACUCCUUUGCAGAUACGUCAAUUCGAAGACUUUGCACCUUCUCAGCAACUACUGGGCAUUCAAGGUAUACAUGCGCCGGUUUCUUCGACGUAAGGUCUCAGAACCGACAGUUUUCCUUCGACUGCAUUACCAUUAUAUACAUUUGUAAACUCACUGUUUCUAUGUGAAGCUACUCAGGUUGAAUCCUAUACAUCCCCACGAUACUGAAAUUGCGUUGCAUAAAAAUGAAGAUUUUCGUAAAUUAAAAAAGUAAUUUUAAAGAAAUCACCUCAUGAACUUCCUUUAAAUACGUAUUAUUCCGGAUAUAUAGGUUAGAGUAUGUUCUAUUCACCAUUUCGCACGUUGGUUUUAGUGACAUGAUAAUUUAAAUAAUUAAUUCGACAUUUUUUGUAAAACAAUGGGUCUCAUGCAUAAAACGUGAGCUUUUGCUCUGACUCGAUUUUUUGAGUAAAAGGUGCUUGUCGUAUGCAUAAUAAAAUUUGUUGUAUUUGCUUUUACUCACUACUCAGGUUUGAUCUCGUCAUGCUCAGUUCGAACUAUGUUCGAACUAAGUUCGAUGAGCUUGUGCUCACUUUCAUAUGCAUAAAAACAAGCUUUUGCUCUUUUUUGUGAGCUCUUGCUCAAAUUUUGUUGAGGCUGCCUAUAGUUGACUCGCGUACACUAAAAAGGAAUCAUGGCUGAAUAUUUUGUGCCACAAAGAAAUCCAAAAGUUUAUCAACAGCGUAAAACAAGUUUAGCAAGUGAGGAUAAAAAAUUAUACAGGUUUGAUGAUAGUAGCAUCUGCUGGUUGGCUAAUUAUUUGUUUGAGGAGUCAGAAGAAACACGUGGUGGUGCCCUCAGCAACGUUGAUAAAAUUCGACUAUAUUUAAGAUUUUGUGCAGAUCCUGGAUUUCAAAAUGGUAUAGCCACAGAUAUUGGUGUCCAUCAAUCAACUGUGUCGCGAAUUAUUGCGGAAGUUGCGAAACUUAUAUCUUCUAAAGCAAGCGAGUGGAUAAAAUUCCCGAAAGAUGGAGAUGCAAUAAAAGAUGCUCAAAGGAAAUGGCAAGCAAAUUAUUUCUUUCCAUUUGCAAUUGGAGCGAUUGAUUGCACUCACAUAAAAAUAAAAAAACCCAAAAAUCAAAGCGACGAAUAUAUUUGCAGAAAAGGCUCUACUCCACUCUAUAAAUGUGCAGGCCACUUGCGAUGCAAAAGAACUAUUUACUAGCGUUGACAUAUCCUGGCCUGGAUCAGUUCACGAUUCACGCAUCCUACGAAACAGCGAGGUAUGUAGGAUAAUGCAAAGUGUAACAAACGAUGCAUUACUUCUCGGGGAUGAGGGCUAUGGGAUAUGUCCAUGGCUAAUGACACCAUUCCGGAACCCAACAACUGAAUUAGAAAAAAAAUUCAACAAAGUGUUUACAAAGGAACGUGUCAUUAUAGAGCGGUGUUUUGGGCAAUUGAAGCAAAGAUUUUCGAUACUUCAAUAUAAAAUUCGUGUAUCGACAGAGCUGGCGCCUCACGUAAUAGCUAGUUGUUUCAUUUUACAUAACAUAGCUAAAUUUUUAAAAGACGAUUACAUUCCAAUCAACGACGAUUACAACAAUAAUGAUGUAUGGCAAUUAGGAAAUUAUAUCGAACAACAAACGACAAGACUUUCAGAAGCUGGAAAAAACAAAAGGCGGAUGAUCGCAAAUUUAUUAUCAAAUUAAAAUAAACGAAUAUUUUUAUUUUUUUUUUUUGUUU